rnacentral:rRNA from 1 species
CCUACGGGUGGCUGCAGUGGGGAAUAUUGCUCAAUGGGCGCAACCCUGAUGCAGCCACGUCGCGUGAGGGAAGACGUAUUUCUGUAUUUUAAGCUCUAUCAGCAGGGAAGAGAAUGACGGUACCUGACUAAGAAGCCCCGGCAAACUAAGUGCCAGCAGCCGCGGUAAUACGGAGGGGGCAAGCGUUAUCCGGAUUUACUGGGUGUAAAGGGAGCGUAGACGGAUGUACAAGUCUGCAGUGAAAGCGCGGGGCUCAACCGCGGAACUGCUUUGAAAACUGUAAAGCUGGAGGACUGGAGAGGCAGGCGGAAGUCCUGGUGUAGCGGUGAAAUGAGUAGAUAUUAGGAGGAACACGAGUGGCAAGGGCGGACUGCUGGACAGAA